rnacentral:ribozyme from 1 species
UAAGCCCGCAAGGCCGACGGCUCCCGCCGCCGCUGGUGCAAGCCCAGCGCCCCACACAAUGGGGCGGCGCUCAUGGGUAACAA